rnacentral:rRNA from 1 species
UACGAAGGGGGCUAGCGUUGCUCGGAAUCACUGGGCGUAAAGGGUGCGUAGGCGGGUCUUUAAGUCAGGGGUGAAAUCCUGGAGCUCAACUCCAGAACUGCCUUUGAUACUGAAGAUCUUGAGUUCGGGAGAGGUGAGUGGAACUGCGAGUGUAGAGGUGAAAUUCGUAGAUAUUCGCAAGAACACCAGUGGCGAAGGCGGCUCACUGGCCCGAUACUGACGCUGAGGCACGAAAGCGUGGGGAGCAAACAGGGAUUAGAAACCCGUU